CAGUUCUGGCUGUCACGGCAUGAAAGUGUCAUAGGAAAAAUUGUUCGGGCUCGACGUCGACAAAGGCAGCGACGUCGACGUCAGCAUGAAAUUCUGACCAGCUUCAACUGCUGCAGAUCGAAGCUGACUCGUAAGAAAGAGAAGCAGAUAUCCAUAGAUUUCCCUCUCUCUCAUAUUUUUAGUUUUCUCUACCUGCAUUCGACCCUAACUCUUCUACUCUCGCGCAUUUCGUCUCCUCAAAGGGAUGAGGGGAGAAAAACCGAUUAUUUGGUGCAAUCUUUUGUUGCGAGCGGCUGUGAUUUUUUUGAGUUGAGCGUCUUUUUACAUGUUUAUUCCUUUUAAAAGUGGGUUUUCAGUGUUUUUAAAGUCAGGUAAGUGGAUUCAGUGAUUACAGUGCGCGUUGUUAGUUAAAUUAAAUUUGUACAUGGGUUUCGCAAGAACAAAUAUGUUUAGAUUCUAGAUCAUUCAAGCGGUGUGGUCCCGUUAACCAUGUGCGUCGCUGCGAGUGUUUGUUUUUGCUCGAGGAAACCCAUAUCAAAACAUUUCUGAAGUCAAAAUCAAAAUAUUAGUCCAGGAGUAAUUGUUUAAAAUGCCUCAAAGGAGCAUUGGUGCUUAUUAACUUGAUCGAGUCAGUUAAGGAAGGCCCUACAGAUAAUUAAAAAUAAUUAAAUCAAUGAAAAAUCUAGAAAAUCUGUGUAAAAUAAAUA